rnacentral:rRNA from 1 species
GUGCAGCCGUACGCGUUCGCGCGUCUAGGUGAAACCGCGAAAGGCUCAUUAAAUCAGUUAUGGUUCCUUGGAUCGUACCAUUCAGUUACUUGGAUAACUGUGGUAAUUCUAGAGCUAAUACAUGCCGACAGAGUUCCGACCGCCUCGUGCGGGAGGAACGCUUUUAUUAGAUCAAAACCCAUCGGUACGGGCCUCGGCCCAUACCGACAACACUCGGUCCGUUCGCGGGCCGACCAAGUGGUGACUCUGAAUAACUUUGUGCUGAUCGCACGGUCUCAGUGCUGGCGAUGCAUCUUUCAAAUGUCUGCCUUAUCAACUGUCGAUGGUAGGUUAUGCGCCUACCAUGGUGGUAACGGGUGACGGGGGAUUAGGGUUCGAUCCCGGAGAGGGAGCCUGAGAAACGGCUACCACAUCCAAGGAAGGCAGCAGGCACGCAAAUUACCCACUCCCAGCUCAGGGGAGGUAGUGACGAAAUAUAACGAUACGGGACUCAUCCGAGGCCUCGUAAUCGGAAUGAGUACACUUUAAAACGUUUAAC